rnacentral:rRNA from 1 species
GUGGGCGUCAAGUUACGUUGCUCUUUCACCCUCCUCGUGUUCAGUUUUCCUCUGGACCAAGGAUAAGGUGGUCGAAGCGGAGAUUGGCCUUCCAUUCCCUCCAAGGAAUGGUGGGUUGAAGUUCUAUCGCACCGGAAUUCGUGCAAGGUCAUGACGGUUGAAGUCUCGUAGUUCGGGACAUUUUCGUCCGCUACGUCUUACAUGUCAUCCUAGUCGAUCCGGUGUCGUAACUUCUGUCCAUGGUACAUUGUGGAUCCUACGCAACGUCGUAGGUUAGCUAUGCCUUGGCUCACUUUGCGACCCCACGUCA